rfam:Moniliophthora roreri MCA 2997 sctg_0078_0001, whole genome shotgun sequence.
AAAGCUGACAAUCUUCUUUUUCUUCUAGGUGUAGUAUCUGUUCUUCAUAGCUUAACCGCUAUGACGAGUCCAUCGGACUCUGUCUCUCGGUUAUACAAUUUUUGCCGCCCCCGUCCUCUGAGCUCUGCUUGCAACUCGGAGGCACGAUGACCUCGCUAUUGCAGUACAGGCUUGCGUCGUCAGGGGAU